rnacentral:rRNA from 1 species
CCUACGGGAGGCAGCAGUGGGGAAUAUUGGGCAAUGGAGGCAACUCUGACCCAGCAACGCCGCGUGAAUGAUGAAGGUCUUCGGAUUGUAAAGUUCUGUGAUGGGGGAUGAACACAAUGACGGUACCCCAAUAGCAAGCCACGGCUAACUACGUGCCAGCAGCCGCGGUAAUACGUAGGUGGCAAGCGUUAUCCGGAAUGAGUGGGGGUAAAGGGUGCGUAGGUGGUUUAGUAAGUUGGCGGUGUAAUUCCGGGGCUCAACCUCGGCGCUGCCGCCGAAACUAUUAGACUAGAGUGCAGGGGAGGUAAGUGGAAUUCCUAGUGUAGCGGUGGAAUGCGUAGAUAUUAGGAGGAACAUCAGGGGCGAAGGCGGCUUACUGGACUGUAACUGACACUGAGGCACGAAAGCGUGGGGAGCAAACAGGAUUAGAUACCCCAGUAGUC